GAUUUAAACACUGAUUUCUAGGUUGAUUUGGGCGGUCCAAAUGUAAUCCAACAGGCAAAAAUUAAGAUAUGGGUAUAAUACGAUUUCUAAAGAUUUUAGGACUCCUUUUACUAUUAGAAAAAGAUAAAAAAAUUUACCUAUAAAUCGAAGGUCCAGAAAUAAGAGAAAAAAAUAAAAAAAUUAGUAAAAAAAUAAAAAAAUUAGAGAGAUUUAAGAAUCCAAAGAAGAAGAAGAA
rnacentral:lncRNA from 1 species